UUGGCAAACGGCAAGGGGUUGCCUGACUACUGCUUGCCUGUUCAGUCCAGUGACUUCCUCCAAAGUGGCAAAGCCAGCCAGCGGAAGUAACUUACCAACAAGGGGCAAAGGAAGCACCUGACCAGUGCUGGGGGGUAUCAACGGUGGAACUUGGCCCCAUGUGCGGCUUCCAGGUCUGGCUGGAGCCACGGCGGUGUUGGGGGCGGCUGCUGUGGAAUCCACAGCAGACAACCUGCCUCUCCCUGUUCCACGCAGGAGGACAACCGCUCUGAGUCAGGCUCUCUCUCAAGAGCCGAACAGGAGGCCUGCUAGUGUGCUGACUGCUAUGCUUGGGUGGAAGUAACAAGAUGGAUCAUAUCAAAUGGCAGCCAAGAAACUGCUCUUUGCUUUUUCUUUUGACCCCUUCUAGAAUACUUGGACCUUAAGCCUGAUGAUCUGGCUAUCUGGGGACAUCCAUCCAGAAGGCUCCCUGGUGACAGGCUCUGCCACAGAGAUGCUAUCUAUCACCAACGGAACUUCAAAGGCAUCUUUAUCGGCAGGACCCACCUCAAGGAAGGUGGAUUCCUAAGAAACUUCUCCUGGAAGGGUGUCUCCUAUCUACAGCCCUCCAGGAGGCAGAAGACCAGAAGGGCCAUAGAAGCCUGUCCUCCAAGGCUGGAGGAGCCUUGGCUACCACUCUUCAGCUGAUGCCUUGGGACAAAUAAGGCCACCUUUUAUGGAAUCAGGCUCCUCCAACUUGCAAAUUGCAGUAAUUAGGGUUGAGAUGGACAUGAGAGAAGACACCAGAAUGUCUGCCUAUAAUGAUUCCUUGUAGCGAACAGGGAGAGAGCUGUGAAGCAGGAAAGAUGGAGAAGGUUUCCAGGAAGCACAUUAUUCUGCAAACGGCAAGCUGCAGCAUACAAGGGUGCCUUCUGAGAACUACUCAGAAGCUUGUGGGGGAGGGUAGGAGCCAGCAGAAAUGCACAAGAGGCAAGCAUGAGGACAGUGUGGUGAAAUCCAUUUCUUGCCUGGAAAUCAGCUCCAUAGAGGUCUUCUCUGGGAGCUGAGCAUUUGGGGCUGCCAGGGCUUGAUACAGUAGCCCAAGUGCUGACAAAGGUCCUCACCUUCCUACCAUUUCCCUACAAGUGGCAAGCAGCUUAACAGACAUGUGUGGAAGAGUUUAAAGUGGCACUUCCUGACUCCUUCCCUGGGAGGGUCUGCAAUGCCAAGGGCUUCUCCAAGAAAGAGCAAGUCCUGUGUCCCUUCACUGCCACAGGCCCAGUCUACAGCUGAAGUUCAGGAGUGUCUUCAUAAACACCCACUUUGUGCAUGAACAGGAUGAAAAUACCUGGAGGGAAGUAUUCAGGGGAUCAUAUACAGAAUCACUGAUUACCAUGGAUAGCUAGUUAUGCUCUGGUUAUAUAUAUCUCCUCCAUUUCCCUCCUCCUUCAGAGCCCAGAGAGACACCCAGACCUAGGCUCACUCACUUCACCUUGGGCCUCCCAAUCUUCAGCCUUGAAAGCUUCUGUGACAAGGGCAUACCAUGAGAAGGCCGGCCACACGCUACAUUCCGAUCUCUGCAGCGUUACGCAAGUUAGGCAGCCUCAGAUUAUUCACUGAUGCCCUCAAAGUGCCUGUUUCCAUAGUACCCAACUCUGAGUGGGUUAGGAGGAUGGCAUAAGGUGUUUAAGUCUGAGCUUGGCUCCAUGGUACCCAUACCUGCUAAGCUGAGCAAUGUUCCCACUAGGGAACUUCAGAUACAUGACUUCAGAGACACAUGUCCCUUGUCCAAAAGUCCAAGUAGACUUUGCACUUUGCACCUGGGGUCCUAAGUCCUUUGGUCUUCUUGGGUCUGUAUUUUACUUUCCUAUGCCAAGCCUCAGGCUUGUCGAUGUGUAAAAUAUGUCUUACAACAGCUGCUUUCCCCAAAAGCCUGGAUCAAAUAAAACAGAAAGCAGGAAGCUUUCUACGGUUGGUACAAAAGGUGCUACAUGAUUAUAUUUACAUGAAUUACAGCCUCCAUGACCCUCAGGUCAGUCAGCCACCAUACCACUCCUUGUUCUUGUUGGGUCCUUUACAUGCAUGUGCCCCCCAUACACCCCCAGCCACUCUGGUUUACAUGUGCCCUAAUCCUGUUUGGAACACUGGGCUUUGACCAGUCAGCUGGAAUUUUGGUGCCAGGAAAUUAGACACCAGGGCCAAGGCCUAAGAAUGCAUCUGUCCUUAGGUUGCACAAGCUGUCCCCUGGCCUGAGGUUUCAGCUUGAGGAAACAAGGAACACAAGAGCACCUGGGGAUUACUCCACAUCCCCCUUUCCUGAAAGUCCCCGCGGAGCUGCCCGUGUGAGUGCACCUGGGUGUGCAAACUUCCAGUCACGGGAGCACCUCGGCCAAGGCACAGAAGUCAGGGCAUACUCUCCCUCACCUGCAGGAGAGAUUCAGAGGCUAUGUGACCCGAGAUCCAUCACCGUCCCCAGAGUCACAAUCUCUUUACCUAUAGAAUAGACGCAUGGAAGCCCUGGUCUGUAGAAGAUACAUCUGAAACCUAAGAGUGAGAAGGGGUUCAUAUCACAAGUGGUAUCUGCUUGUUGCUCCCUCCUCCCUACAUUCCCUCCUCCCAGGGGGAGAAUGUAGAUUCUGCCAAGUUGUGCAAAUAACAACUCAUUUGACAUCUCUGAACCUAAGAGACGGUCAUAACGGCUAAUGAAGAAAAUAGACAGCGGUCUAAAUUUCUCUGGAAAGUAUUAAAACACCAUGAAACUUGGCCAGCAAUCCUCGCUGAUGUCUAUAGAGAAGAAUAAAAGCAAUGAUGAUGAUGA